UCUCUGACUGGCUUAUUUCACUUAGCAUAAUGCUCUCCAGUUCCAUCCAUGUUGUUGCAAAUGGUAGGCGUUCCUUCCUUCUUUCAGCAGUGUAGUAUUCUAUUGUGUA